CUUUAAUUAGGUACAAGUUAAAGUAUAAAUAUAGCAUUACAAUGGUGAAAAAUUUCUAGAAAUUUCAUAACAAAUGCAUAUAUGCUAGCUUCUUCCAACCUGGCCUGAACAUGUAAAAGUGUUACAUUAUCCUAAACAAUAAUUUCUCAGAUAAUUUUCAAAUAGGAUAACAAAUUUCUUCUGACUUAGUAUUUUUAAUUACAAAAUGGUCACUGAAGGAGGACAUUCAUUGUAAAGAAUAUAAAACAAUCUUUUAAUAUUGUAAUCCUUGCCACUUAAGUUAAAUAAAUCUUUGAUUCCUAAGACAUUAACACACAGAAAAUAAUUCCUACUUCACAUGGUAUAAAAGAAAAUAAUGAGUCAAACAAAGCAUUAUGACAGACUUGCUAUAAAAAAAAAUAGAAAUACUGGCCCCAAACCACUGUUUCUACUGAUACAUGGAAGAUACAAUUUGUAUUUUUAAGAGAUAAUGACGGCUCAGUGUUUUUACAAAUACACUGAAAGUAAAAGUUACCUUUAGUGCUAUAAUAACAAUAAAAUUAGGAAACACUUCAACAGUGAAGAAAAACACACAACAAAAUCCACUAUUCCCAGUGUAAAGUCAAUUUAUAAAAUAGCGUCAAGCAAUGAAUAACAAAACAGAGGAAAGAUAAAAGCAAUCUUGCAUUUUCUUCCCCCCCGCAAUAUUUUACACUCUACUAUUUAAAGUGAGUUUCUUUACAACAAAUGGUGCUUUAAAGGAAAGUAAUAUUUUUUUCCACUUUGUGUUUGAUAAAAUCUUACCACAUGUGGAAUUUUCAUUGAUUUCACAGGAAGGAAUAAGGAAUCCAAGCUCAAAAGAAGAGAUUAUUCUUGGAGAGAAAGAUCCCACAAUACAUUUCAUUUCUAUUGCCAAAGAAUUUUAAGAACUCAUUUGUCUGGGCAGAGUCUCUUCUCUCCAGGAUUGACUUAGGUGUGGUCUAAAUGUGCAGUUGACCUCUCAAGGUCAGUUCCAGAUUUAUGAGCUUGUAAAAUUCCUUAAAGCCAUUUCUAUUCCAGGCUCUCAUAUACUGAUUCUACUUUCCUUGACCAAGAUGAAAAAAGCCUUUGUUCAUGCUCAAUGGAAAGCAGAUCACUGAAUACUGUUUUUUUUUUCAGUGAAGUUGAACAAUUCAGAACUCUUUUGAUUAAUGCAGAAGUGCUAAGAGUAGUCCUCCCUAAUGUGUUGCUAUGAUAUUCAACCACGCCACAUGCUGCUGAAAGGUUCCUGUCUAAAUGCCAUAGGAUGGGUUGAAACGUGCUCACCCCAGGCAAUUAUUUCCAGAACAAUUAGUGCCUACUGCGAUUUCAAAAAAUACAGCUUUGCUUCUUUGUCCCUCUGAAUUGCACUGGUCUAAAGAAUAGGCUUCUAUAAUUUUAGCUUAUAGAGAUAGACUUGUUUACCUCUGCAAAUAUUUAGAAAGUGAGAGCUAUGUUUCAGGUGAAUACACAUCUACUCUAAUCAGAAAGAAACAUCAGAAUUCUAGCUUUUUUGUCCUAAAUUAUUACCAUUAUUGCAACUUGUUCUUUCAAAAUUUUGGUAGACAGAUGAAAAACUGCUGCCAUUCUUCUUGAUAAAAAUAUCAAUUGUGGCUCACUGAUACAAUCUACUCAUCUAUUUCCAGGAGAAGUAGUGUUGUUAUAGUAUAUAGCUAGUCUGGUAUGAGCAGGGAGGAAGAGGGCUCCGCUGAGCGCGCACACAUACACAUCAGGAGUGUCAGUCGACCAUCAGGUAAUGGACAGGCAGUUGUUAACUGUCUCUCCAAAGUAAUAAUUAGUCACAGCCAGCACCAGGGAAAUGCAGUCUCCUAGUAGAUAGAAAACACCUGAAACUCAUCAGCAGCUUCCCAGUAAGAUCGCAGAAGUCGGAAGAAGUGAUGCAAGAUCCUGGAAUUGUGUCAAAGUAUAAACCCCAAGUCAAAAGGUCAAAUAGCACAAUAUCUUUCAAGUUGUCCGCAUGGCCCUCGUCCGGGUACAUUUCCUUCCUUUCAUUCCUGCUCUAAAGCUUUGUAAUCAACUUUCACUCCUGCUUUAAAAUUUGCCUCUGUCUCCUUCUGCCUUAUGCCCCUCAGUUGAAUUUUUCUUCAGAGGAGGCAAGAAUUGAAGUUGCUGUAGACCGGUACAGUUUUUCCACCACUAACAUAUUUUGGUGGUGUGUGACUAGGACACCCUUCACUGCCAACAUACUUUGGUACCUUGUGACUUGUAUAACUUCCACCACUAACAUACUCUGAUGCUGCAUGACUCAGAUAUGUUCCCUAGUGGCAACAGACCUUCUUUGGCUGGAGAUGUUCAACCCCUGUAUGUGGUUUUCUUCUCCCUUUCUCUCUCCUGCUUACUAACCAGCCCCCAGAACAAGUCUUCUUGGCGAUAAGCAAUUCUGAUCCCCACAGCUGAUCUCUCAGCUCACCCUGAGGGGUGGCUCAUGGAGGUGGAAAGGAACUUGAAGUCCACACCAAGUAGAACUGAAGUACUAAUGGCCAUCCUGGACAGGAGGCUGAUGAGAGUGGUAGGGCUAAAGCCUAAAACUGUGCAACAUUUUGGGUUUUCUCGGCUUUUUCAACUAAAAUCAGCUCUUUCUCCCAAAUCCUGCACCAUUUAUUCUCCUGUUUUCUCUGUGUGUGUUCUGAAGUGGCUUUGAGCACCUGCCAGUUGGUCCACCUCAGGGGCAAGUCUACCUUUUCUCUGGUUUCACUUCGCAUGCCACCUGACUUUCUACUCUGCCUUAAAACACACACUCCCUGUUAUUCAUGCACCCAUGGCUCUUGCUGUGUUUGCUCAGCAGCAGAGAAGUGGGCUCCCUUUUGGAUGUCUGUUGGCCCAUUGCCAGGACACUAACUGGAACCCCAGCUCUGCCAGCUCCUUACGACUUAC
rnacentral:lncRNA from 1 species